CUAAUAUGUGCUUUUGUGCUGAUCUUGUGCAAACUUCUUAAGCCUGCGCACCUGCUUUCUCAUGUCCUGUCGGUGGAAAUCAUGGAGCCUCGGGACUGCUGUUUGAACGCUGUACUGUAGAAGGCACAGACUGAGAUGCUGGAUCAACUGCGCAUGCCUGUCUUUGUGACCGGCUGCUAUCGAUCCUUCCGAGCCCGUGUGCCACGCUGGAAAGCUGCAUCUAAGAGUUAAGAUUUACUGGCUUAAAAGCGUGUGUGUCGUGGGAUUGCGCGGUGGCUCAGUAAGAACUGACAUCCUAGCAGGCUCCUGGGCGAUGCAGAUGCUGGCAUUCUGGGCACUGCCCUUUGGAAAGCUAUGAUGACCACUGAAGCAGAACAGACCAAAGCAAAGAGGUGGGAAAGUCGCGAGAAGAUACAGGACUGGCUGGGAUACAUCAGGAAGAGGAGCUGCGAUGGAUGGGACUUCAAAUGGAAGUUGGUGAUUAUAUCCGUCCCAGCACCUCCCGCCUUGCAAGAGAGGCCUUAUAAAUCCUGGUCACAAGGAAGGGAAACAGAAGCUCAAGGAAGAGAGAGCCAUGGCUUCCUAGGUGUCAGUGAAGACCCAGACGCUGAAACUAUAACCGCCUAGUUCAGAAACCUAUACUUUGCUUGACCACAAUCCAAGCAGGGGGUGGGGAUGGGAUGUUUUUCUGCAGGGCUGGACAUAGAGUCAGUGUUCAGAGCACAUUGUUGGAGAGAGGAAGGAUGGGUGAGUGAAUAAGUGAAGAAAUGAAUGAGAGAACAGAACCACUUUGAGAGCCUGGAAACCGGGACCUCACGCUCUGUGACCUCACGCUCCAACUUCCCCUCCUCCCCGAGUCUGAUCUGAAAGGUGACCCCCGUUCCUCUCGCCCAGGUGAUAAAGCCAGGUGCAGGUGCACCUGUUACCCAAACCUGAUAUCCAAAUAGGAAGUAAGGCUGAGAUAAGGCUGUGGAGGGCAGUGCCUGGAAUCACGGGGUUGGGCUGGCCAUUGGCUUGAUGCCACAAGUGUCCACCGAGCCUCUCCUAAAGGUUGAGCUCUAUGCCAGGUUCCUUCAGGGUGAGGCAGGAAGCCACGCAGCUCCUGACCUCCAACAGCUUAUGGAAAAAAAAAAUACUUACAAACAGGAUGUGGGUCGGGCAAAGGGAGAAGUGUGAAGCAGGUGGCCAUUGCUCCCUGACAGCUCCAACAGGGAGUUGGGACUGAGAGAUGAGAAGAAAUGAGGCAGUAGUUAGUGAUGCCAGGGGAGGGGCCUGACCCUUGCACUGCCAUUGCUGAGGAAUAAGAGGUCCUUAAAGUUUAGCUCCUCAGACCCAGACCCCUCCCCAGUCCUCCUAC
rnacentral:lncRNA from 1 species